rnacentral:rRNA from 1 species
AGUGAACGCUGGCGGUAGGCCUAACACAUGCAAGUCGAACGGCAGCACAGUAAGAGCUUGCUCUUACGGGUGGCGAGUGGCGGACGGGUGAGGAAUACAUCGGAAUCUACUUUUUCGUGGGGGAUAACGUAGGGAAACUUACGCUAAUACCGCAUACGACCUACGGGUGAAAGCAGGGGAUCGUCGGACCUUGCGCGAGUGAAUGAGCCGAUGUCGGAUUAGCUAGUUGGCGGGGUAAAGGCCCACCAAGGCGACGAUCCGUAGCUGGUCUGAGAGGAUGAUCAGCCACACUGGCACUGAGACACGGUCCAGACUCCUACGGGAGGCAGCAGUGGGGAAUAUUGGACGAUGGGCGCAAGCCUGAUCCAGCCAUACCGCGUGGGUGAAGAAGGCCUUCGGGUUGUAAAGCCCUUUUGUUGGGAAAGAAAAGCAGCAGGUUAAUACCCCGCUGUUCUGACGGUACCCAAAGAAUAAGCACCGGCUAACUUCGUG